AUGGCCUACCAAACCUACGAUGGAUAGGGGUUCUGAGAGGAAGGUCCCCCACACUGGUACUGAGACACGGACCAGACUCCUACGGGAGGCAGCAGUGAGGAAUAUUGGUCAAUGGGCGAGAGCCUGAACCAGCCAAAUCGUGAAGGAUGAAGGUAUUAUGUAUUGUAAACUUCUUUUGUCAGGGAAUAAAGUGCGUCACGUGUGGCGUUUUGUAAGUACCUGAAGAAUAAGGAUCGGCUAACUCCGUGCCAGCAGCCGCGUAAUACGGAGGAUCCAAGCGUUAUCCGGAUUUAUUGGGUUUAAAGGGUGCGUAGGCGGACCCUUAAGUCAGCGGUGAAAGUUCCCGGCUCAACCGGGGAAUUGCCGUUGAAACUACGGGUCUUGAGUGUAGAUGAGGUGGGCGGAAUUCGUAGUGUAGCGGUGAAAUGCUUAGAUAUUACGAAGAACUCCAAUUGCGAAGGCAGCUCACUGGGCUACAACUGACGCUGAGGCACGAAGGUGCGGGGAUCAAACAGGAUUAGAUACCCUGGUAGUCCGCACAGUAAACGAUGAAUACUAACUGUUUGCGAUACACAGUAAGCGGUACAGCGAAAGCGUUAAGUAUUCCACCUGGGGAGUACGCCGGCAACGGUGAAACUCAAAGGAAUUGACGGGGGCCCGCACAAGCGGAGGAACAUGUGGUUUAAUUCGAUGAUACGCGAGGAACCUUACCCGGGCUUGAAUUGCAGACGAAUGUGUGUGAAAGCAUGCAGCCAGCAAUGGCGUCUGUGAAGGUGCUGCAUGGUUGUCGUCAGCUCGUGCCGUGAGGUGUCGGCUUAAGUGCCAUAACGAGCGCAACCCUCAUCAAUAGUUACUAACAGGUUAAGCUGAGGACUCUAUUGAGACUGCCAGCGUAAGCUGUGAGGAAGGUGGGGAUGACGUCAAAUCAGCACGGCCCUUACGUCCGGGGCGACACACGUGUUACAAUGGGGGGGACAGCAGGCAGCUACACGGCGACGUGAUGCAAAUCCCCAAACCCCCUCUCAGUUCGGAUCGAAGUCUGCAACCCGACUUCGUGAAGCUGGAUUCGCUAGUAAUCGCGCAUCAGCCAUGGCGCGGUGAAUACGUUCCCGGGCCUUGUACACACCGCCCGUCAAGCCAUGGGAGUUGGGGGUGCCUAAAGUACGUAACCGCAAGGAUCGUCCUAGGGCAAAACCGAUGACUGGGGCUAAGUCGUAACAAGGUA
rnacentral:rRNA from 1 species